UGCAGCCCAGCGUCGGUCGCGAAAGGGCGUCUGUGAGGCGGAGCAUAGCAAUUCGUUGUUGGAACUUUUACCGGGUGUGUUAAACUCGUCCGAUUGACUGAGAGAAUAUGGGAUCUAAACGACGCCGCCGCCGCUGUGUGAAUUGAAGACGACUUUUAAAAAGACUGUGUGUGAACUCUUUCUUAAGAACUCGGGUUGCGAAGUGAACAUUUCCAUGAGGCACAAAACGUAACAGCGAGUGGAAAAAAAACGGACAAAAAAGGUAUUAGCUGGACAGAAAAUGUAUUCCAAUGCUGGCGAGUGAUAAGUGCCGAGUACAAAAAAAAAAAAAAAAAAAUAACACAGAAAAGUGACCAUCAGAGAGUGACGUGAUAUUGUGUACGAUUUUCUCUGCUGUGGAAAAAGUGUUGAUCAAUUGUAAAAAUGUGAGAGACCAGCCCCAUGGAAUCAAUUAAAACUGAUCCCUUAACAGAAAAAUAAGAAUUCCAUUCUAUUGUGUUGGUGACGCUACAAACUCGAACGUGUUGCAGUUUUCUCAAGGUCGGAGAAACUGAAGGCUUUCUCUUAAAGAGUCUCGCCUCCGGUUCCCUGGUGUCAAUCUGCCAUUCUAGACAACGCCGAAACACCUUCAUCAAAGUGAGUAUCUCUCUCUCUCUCUCUC